CUUUACUGCAACUUGACGUUGGAACUUGGCUGUAUUUGUGUAGGAUAGGUGGGAGACUUUGAAGCAGGGCCGCCAGGUCUUGCGGAGUCGUCGUUGAAAUACCACCCUGGUGCUGACGAGUUUCUAACCGUGUCCGUAAGCCGGACAUGAGACAGCGUCUGGUGGGCAGUUUGACUGGGGCGGUCGCCUCCUAAAAGGUAACGGAGGCAUUCAAAGGUCCCCUCAGCGUGGUCGGUAAUCACGCGCAGAGUGCAAACGCAUAAGGGGGCUUAACUGCGAGACCGACAGGUCGAGCAGGUACGAAAGUAGGAGUUAGUGAUCCCGCGGUUUAGCGUGGAAUUGCCGUUGCUCAAUGGGUAAAAGGUA
rnacentral:rRNA from 1 species